rnacentral:rRNA from 1 species
AGUGAACGCUGGCGGUAGGCCUAACACAUGCGAGUCGAACGGCAGCACAGUAAGAGCUUGCUCUUACGGGUGGCGAGUGGCGGACGGGUGAGGAAUACAUCGGAAUCUACUUUUUCGUGGGGGAUAACGUAGGGAAACUUACGCUAAUACCGCAUACGACCUACGGGUGAAAGCAGGGGAUCUUCGGACCUUGCGCGAAUGAAUGAGCCGAUGGCGGAUUAGCUAGUUGGCGGGGUAAAGGCCCACCAAGGCGACGAUCCGUAGCUGGUCUGAGAGGAUGAUCCGCCCCACUGGAACUGGGACACGGUCCAGACUGCUGCGGGAGGCAGCAGUGGGGAAUAUUGGACAAUGGGCGCAAGCCUGAUCCAGCCAUACCGCGUGCGUGAAGAAGGCCUUCGCGUUGUAAAGCCCUUUUGUUGGGAAAGAAAAGCAGCAGGUUAAUCCCCCGCUGUUCUGACGGUACCCAAAGAAUAAGCACCGGCUAACUUCGUG